CCUGGGUUGAAUAGGGCCCCUCAAAACGUACCUUCACCUAGAACCUCAGAACACGAUCUUAUCUGAAAAUUGGAUCCUUGCAGAUGCGAUUAGGAUCAGGCCCUAAAUUCAAGGACUGGUGUCCUUGUAAGAAGAGGAGAGGACAUCCUGAUCCACACGAGGAAGAACCAUGGGACGAUGGAGGCAGAGCGUGGAGGGACGCAGCCACCAGCCAGGAGCACCUGCAGCCACAGGGACCUGUGAGAGAGGCGGGGAAAGGAGAAGUCUCCGAGAGGCCUUGGAAGGAGCAGGCCCUGCCCACAACUUGACUUUGGACUUCUGGCCUCUGGAACUAUGAGAAACUAGAUUGCCCUUUCUCCAUUGCCGUGGCCACCAUCCAAGCCUCCGUGAAUCUUGCCAGGACCUGUCCCACAGCUCGCCGAGGGAUUCCCCACAUUUAUUCUUGCCUCCACCCAAUCUGAUCUCUGCAGAGCAGUGUGUUCUUGGGAAAACACAAAUUGGAUGACGCAGAUCCCUCGUUUGAAUCAUUCGGCCGUUUUGCAUUACUCUUAGGCUAAAAUCCAAGAUCCUCAGCACGGCCCCCAAGGCUCUGCUCGCUCCGGCCCCUGCCUGCCUCUCCAGCCUCAUCUCACCACCCCCGCUUUACUUCUCUUUUGUGAAACUACAAUCACGCUGACCUUCUUUCCAUUUCCACACGGAGCCGGACUCCACCCUGCCCUGGAGUGUUUGUUUCCACUCUUCCCUCUGAUGGAGACACUUGUCCCAUUUCUCAUCGGAGUGAUCUCCCCACCCUUCAAGUCCAGGAUAAUUAUCACUCCCUCACGGAGGGUUGUGCAUGGAGCCCCUAGGUUUGGCAUAGCUUGCACCCUGGGCCUGGACAAGGAGGACCUACCAGUGAUGACAUCAUCAGCCCCACCCAUACCAGACAUCUGAGGCUCUUCCCCUUCAUCUCUGCAAGUCAUUGUGGUUGGAAAAUCUUAAGUUGCCUAAAUCAAACCUGGGAGAUAGUGUUUCUCAAAUGCCAGAAGAGACAAGUCAGAACAUGUAGAAGUGGUUUUCUAAGGAAUUAACUGCAAUCAAAUUGCUA
rnacentral:lncRNA from 10 species